rnacentral:lncRNA from 1 species
AGGGAAAUGUCGGUAAAGAGGGCCCUCCUGGACCACCGGGUGAAAUUAUACUCGAUGGUACAAACAACACGUUAGUGAAGGGUCAAAAGGGAGAUAAAGGUUCUUCGAUAGAUCUCGAUUCAAUAAAAGGAUUGAAGGGUACCAAGGUAAGAA